AUACGUAGGUGACAAGCGUUAUCCGGAUUUACUGGGCGUAAAGGGCGUGUAGGCGGUCGUGCAAGUCAGAAGUGAAAUUCCUGAGCUCAACUCGGGCGCUGCUUCUGAAACUGCAGGACUUGAGUGCUGGAGGGGAUAGCGGAAUUCCUAGUGGAGCGGUAAAAUGCGCAGAUAUUAGGAAGAACACCGGUGGCGAAGGCGGCUAUCUGGACAGUAACUGACGCUGAGGCGCGAAAGCGUGGGGAGCAAACAGGAUUAGAUCCCCUGGUAGUCCACGCCGUAAACGAUGAAUACUAGGUGUAGGGGGUAUCGACUCCCUCUGUGCCGCAGUUAACACAAUAAGUAUUCCGCCUGGGGAGUACGGCCGCAAGGUUGAAACUCAAAUGAAUUGGCGGGG
rnacentral:rRNA from 1 species